GACGAACGCUGGCGGCGUGCUUAACACAUGCAAGUCGAACGGUAAGGCCCCUUCGGGGGUACACGAGUGGCGAACGGGUGAGUAACACGUGAGCAACCUACCCUUGACUCUGGAAUAAGCAUUCGAAAGGAUGUCUAAUGCCGGAUAUCCACCUUGGUCGACAUCAACCGGGGUGUAAAGCUUUUGCGGUCAUGGAUGGGCUCGCGGCCUAUCAGCUAGUUGGUGAGGUAACGGCUCACCAAGGCGUCGACGGGUAGCCGGCCUGAGAGGGCGACCGGCCACACUGGGACUGAGAUACGGCCCAGACUCCUACGGGAGGCAGCAGUGGGGAAUAUUGCACAAUGGGCGGAAGCCUGAUGCAGCAACGCCGCGUGCGGGAUGACGGCCUUCGGGUUGUAAACCGCUUUCAGCAGGGACGAAGCGCAAGUGACGGUACCUGCAGAAGAAGCACCGGCCAACUACGUGCCAGCCGCCGCCGUAACAC
rnacentral:rRNA from 1 species